rnacentral:rRNA from 1 species
CAUGGCUCAGAUUGAACGCUGGCGGCAGGCCUAACACAUGCAAGUCGAAUGGUAACAGGAAACAGCUUGCUGUUUCGCUGACGAGUGGCGGACGGGUGAGUAAUGUCUGGGAAACUGCCUGAUGGAGGGGGAUAACUACUGGAAACGGUAGCUAAUACCGCAUAACGUCGCAAGACCAAAGAGGGGGACCUUCGGGCCUCUUGCCAUCAGAUGUGCCCAGAUGGGAUUAGCUAGUAGGUGGGGUAACGGCUCACCUAGGCGACGAUCCCUAGCUGGUCUGAGAGGAUGACCAGCCACACUGGAACUGAGACACGGUCCAGACUCCUACGGGAGGCAGCAGUGGGGAAUAUUGCACAAUGGGCGCAAGCCUGAUGCAGCCAUGCCGCGUGUAUGAAGAAGGCCUUCGGGUUGUAAAGUACUUUCAGCGGGGAGGAAGGGAGUAAAGUUAAUACCUUUGCUCAUUGACGUUACCCGCAGAAGAAGCACCGGCUAACUCCGUG